UCGGGAAUUUUGGGCAAUGGGCGAAAGCCUGACCCAGCAACGCCGCGUGAGGGAUGAAGUAUUUCGGUAUGUAAACCUCGAAAGAAUGGGAAGAAUAAAUGACGGUACCAGAGGAAUAAGCACCGGCUAACUCCGUGCCAGCAGCCGCGGUAAUACGGAGGGUGCGAGCGUUAUCCGGAUUUACUGGGUUUAAAGGGUGCGUAGGUGGGCUUAUAAGUCAGUGGUGAAAUCUCCGAGCUUAACUUGGAAACUGCCGUUGAUACUAUAGGUCUUGAAUUAUCUGGAGGUAAGCGGAAUAUGUCAUGUAGCGGUGAAAUGCUUAGAUAUGACAUAGAACACCAAUUGCGAAGGCAGCUUACUACACAAUCAUUGACACUGAGGCACGAAAGCGUGGGUAGCGAACA
rnacentral:rRNA from 1 species